GAGGACACUCGGGCAGAGAAAGACAGGCUGUAGGGCACCAGAGAAGUCACCUGGACUCCUGCAUCUUCACUACCUGUACACAACAUCAGUAUUUUAAAGUGUUCCUACCCUGAGGCUGGUAUCGAGGGUUGAGCACAGCAGGCAGACAGAACCUCAGACCAUCAUCAGCCUGCACAGCCAGCUCAGUCACGUACUCCAACCUGAUGGAGGCGCUCUCUCCUGGAGGCAGACUGCCCACACUCAGAGAGAAUA